rnacentral:rRNA from 1 species
CUACGGGGUGCUCCAGUCGAGAAUAGUCUACAAUGGACGAAAGUCUGAUAGUGCGACGCCGCGUGGAUGAAGAAGCAUUUCGGUGUGUAAAGUCCUUUUCUGUGUGAGCAAUGUUUUCCAGGUUAAUAGCUUGGAGAAAGCGAUAUUAACACAGGAAUAAGCUCCGGCUAACUCCGUGCCAGCAGCCGCGGUAACACGGGGGGAGCAAGCGUUGUCCGGAAUUACUAGGCGUAAAGGGUAAGUAGGCGGAAUUGUAAGUCAGAUGUUAAAGGCACCGGCUCAACCGGUGUAUGGCAUUUGAUACUGUAAUUCUAGAGUAAGGUGGGGGAAGACGGAAUUCCUGGUGUAGCGGUGGAAUGCGCAGAUAUCAGGAGGAACACCAGAGGCGCAGGCGGUCUUCUAUACCAUUACUGACGCUCAAUUACGAAGGUGUGGGUAUCAAACAGGAUUAGAUACCCCUGUAGUC